ACGAAGGGGGCUAGCGUUGCUCGGAAUCACUGGGCGUAAAGCGUGCGCAGGCGGCUAUCCAAGUCAGUGGUGAAAGCCCGGAGCUCAACUCCGGAAUUGCCAUUGAAACUGUUUAGCUUGAGGACGAGAGAGGUGAGUGGAAUUCCCAGUGUAGAGGUGAAAUUCGUAGAUAUUGGGAAGAACACCGGUGGCGAAGGCGGCUCACUGGCUCGUUUCUGACGCUCAGGCACGAUAGCGUGGGGAUCAAACAGGA
rnacentral:rRNA from 1 species